AUGGAUAUCUGGCUCCUAUGUUGGAUAUUUUUUAGUCUCCUGAAAGCAGGACUCACGGGACCCAAAGUCGUGCAGAUCCCAAGUCAUGAAGUGAUACACGUGGGGCAGAUGGUGACCCUCAGUUGUGACCCUGUCUCUAAUCACCUUUACUUCUAUUGGUAUAAACUGAUCUUGGGACAGCAGAUGGAGUUUCUGGUUUCUUUCUACAGGGGUAAAAUCUCAGACAAGUCUAAACUAUUCAAGGAGGAUCGGUUUUCAGUUGAAAGGAAAGAGGAUUCGUAUUUCACUCUGAAGAUCCAGCCCACAAUGCUGGAGGACUCAGCCAUGUACUUUUGUGCCAGCAGCUUAUCCACAGCCUUGCAAAAACACCUCCUUCCUCUGUUGUGGCUGACCAUCACUUGA